CCAGAGAACUUAGCAGAGAUGCUUGGUGCCUUCGGGAACUCUGAGACAGGUGCUGCAUGGCUGUCGUCAGCUCGUGUUGUGAAAUGUUGGGUUAAGUCCCGCAACGAGCGCAACCCUUAUCCUUUGUUGCCAGCGAUUCGGUCGGGAACUCAAAGGAGACUGCCGGUGAUAAACCGGAGGAAGGUGGGGAUGACGUCAAGUCAUCAUGGCCCUUACGGCCAGGGCUACACACGUGCUACAAUGGCGCAUACAAAGAGAAGCGACCUCGCGAGAGCAAGCGGACCUCAUAAAGUGCGUCGUAGUCCGGAUUGGAGUCUGCAACUCGACUCCAUGAAGUCGGAAUCGCUAGUAAUCGUAGAUCAGAAUGCUACGGUGAAUACGUUCCCGGGCCUUGUACACACCGCCCGUCACACCAUGGGAGUGGGUUGCAAAAGAAGUAGGUAGCUUAACCUUCGGGAGGGCGCUUACCACUUUGUGAUUCAUGACUGGGGUGAAGUCGUAACAAGGUAGGCGUAGAUGA
rnacentral:rRNA from 1 species